rnacentral:rRNA from 1 species
CCUGGCUCAGGAUGAACGCUAGCUACAGGCUUAACACAUGCAAGUCGAGGGGCAGCAUGGUCUUAGCUUGCUAAGGCCGAUGGCGACCGGCGCACGGGUGAGUAACACGUAUCCAACCUGCCGUCUACUCUUGGACAGCCUUCUGAAAGGAAGAUUAAUACAAGAUGGCAUCAUGAGUCCGCAUGUUCACAUGAUUAAAGGUAUUCCGGUAGACGAUGGGGAUGCGUUCCAUUAGAUAGUAGGCGGGGUAACGGCCCACCUAGUCUUCGAUGGAUAGGGGUUCUGAGAGGAAGGUCCCCCACAUUGGAACUGAGACACGGUCCAAACUCCUACGGGAGGCAGCAGUGAGGAAUAUUGGUCAAUGGGCGAGAGCCUGAACCAGCCAAGUAGCGUGAAGGAUGACUGCCCUAUGGGUUGUAAACUUCUUUUAUAAAGGAAUAAAGUCGGGUAUGGAUACCCGUUUGCAUGUACUUUAUGAAUAAGGAUCGGCUAACUCCGUGCCAGCAGCCGCGGUAAUACGGAGGAUCCGAGCGUUAUCCGGAUUUAUUGGGUUUAAAGGGAGCGUAGAUGGAUGUUUAAGUCAGUUGUGAAAGUUUGCGGCUCAACCGUAAAAUUGCAGUUGAUACUGGAUAUCUUGAGUGCAGUUGAGGCAGGCGGAAUUCGUGGUGUAGCGGUGAAAUGCUUAGAUAUCACGAAGAACUCCGAUUGCGAAGGCAGCCUGCUAAGCUGCAACUGACAUUGAGGCUCGAAAGUGUGGGUAUCAAACAGGAUUAGAUACCCUGGUAGUCCACACGGUAAACGAUGAAUACUCGCUGUUUGCGAUAUACUGCAAGCGGCCAAGCGAAAGCGUUAAAUAUUCCACCUGGGGGAGUACGCCGGCAACGGUGAAACUCAAAGGAAUUGACGGGGGCCCGCACAAGCGGAGGAACAUGUGGUUUAAUUCGAUGAUACGCGAGGAACCUUACCCGGGCUUAAAUUGCAGAUGAAUUACGGUGAAAGCCGUAAGCCGCAAGGCAUCUGUGAAGGUGCUGCAUGGUUGUCGUCAGCUCGUGCCGUGAGGUGUCGGCUUAAGUGCCAUAACGAGCGCAACCCUUGUUGUCAGUUACUAACAGGUUCCGCUGAGGACUCUGACAAGACUGCCAUCGUAAGAUGUGAGGAAGGUGGGGAUGACGUCAAAUCAGCACGGCCCUUACGUCCGGGGCUACACACGUGUUACAAUGGGGGGUACAGAGGGCCGCUACCACGCGAGUGGAUGCCAAUCCCCAAAACCUCUCUCAGUUCGGACUGGAGUCUGCAACCCGACUCCACGAAGCUGGAUUCGCUAGUAAUCGCGCAUCAGCCACGGCGCGGUGAAUACGUUCCCGGGCCUUGUACACAC